AUGGACACUUCUCCAGCCUUAGUGACUGUGAUGCUCUUUAUACUUGGAAGGACUCAUGGAGAUUCAGUGACCCAGACAGCAGGCCAUGUGACCAUGUCAGAAGGGGCUUUGCUGAUUAUAAACUGCACUUACUCAACUACAACCAUAGUAUACCCUGUACUUUUCUGGUACGUUCAAUACCCUGGAGAAGGUCUACAGCUCCUCCUGAAAGCUGUGAAGGCCAAUGAUAAGGUCAGCAGCAAAGGUUUUGAAGCCACAUACAAGAAAGAUACAUCCUCCUUCAACUUGGAUAAAGCCUCUGUCCAAGAGUCUGACUCGGCUGUGUACUACUGUGCUCUGGGUGACACAGUGGCAGAAACUGCAGGGACAGCUGAGCAUAAACUCUGA